AAAGAGUACUGCGCUACGAGCGUAGAGAGAUCGAGAGCGAUAAACUCACAGACAAGCGAAGGACAGAGAAGGGAAGAGCAACGUUCGCAGGAAAAGUCCGAAGUUUAAUACGUGCCGCGCUACACUUCAGGUUUCGAGCUUGGGCCAGCGUUGGGGGGGGGGCACCGCCCGGGGCGCCAGAUCUUUGAGGGCGUCGCAGUCCAGUGUCCCUAGUCAGGGCCGGCGCAAGGCAGAUUCAGCGCGUUCGUCGGAACCCGGUCCCGUGUUUUCAGAAGCCCCGCGGUCACAGCCGACUCUAGUACUAGCCAUGCUGAGAAACGCCGCUCAAGUCUAGAUCGAGACUCCUAUUUUCCAAUAUGAGUCUUGUGCUUCGUAUCAUAAUUAACAGUUUUUUUAAUAGAAAACUGUACUAAUGUACACCAUUUGUUAUUAAUUAUGUAAAAGUGGUAUAUAAAUAUUAUGACUAUAUGGUUUGAAGAAAAUAUAAGUGUGAAGGAAGAUAAAACCUUCUUUGGACCAAAUUGAAGUGUUUUAAAAUUAAUAAGAGAUAUUUUUAACUUAAUACAAACGUGAAAUAGACAAAAUUGUUGGUACGAAGUCAAAGAGGUUAAGUGAACGCGUGGAAGAGAUGAAGGGAAGCUACCCAAGGAAAGAAUUAUGCAGUUAAUUCAAGAGUGUGUUACAAAGUUUACAAAUUGGGACUUCAAGUUAGCAUCAUUAAUUAUGGCUUCCAUUAUGGCAUACAUAUGACUGAAUAUGGUCAUUACUUCUUCCGUAGGAACAGAAAGGCCCCCUCUUUCAAUAGAAUGGGACCCAUAACCAGAUAUGUAAUUUUUAAUGGAAUCAUCAACAACACAAGUGGAUAAGUAUUCAGUUUCAAAGAUUCCCAGAAAACAAAUUACAUCAAUGAAAAGAUCAUGAAGAAUAUGAUCGUUAUCAUAAACUUCAAAUCUAUUUUUGAUUUAAGUAAAAAAAAAGAAUCUUGCAGAUUUCUUAAAUAUAUAUUUUAAUCUAAUAUUUUUCUCUGCAUGAACUACUUCAUUGUAUGAAACGUGAUAAUUACAACCAAAUAAAAGUUUAUAGUUUCCAAAUCGUUUCUCUAAUUUUUUAGUUCACAAUUUUCCUGCUAAAAGAUAAGAUAUGUCAAAAGUUUGAAAAUAGUACUACUCUAUGAGUAGUAAAAGAACUCUAAUACUUUGAUGUAAAACUUUGAAAGUAUCUAAUGUUAAAUGACCGUCUGUUUCCAAAUUUUUCCAAAAAUCUAACCAUGUUAAAAAUUUCUUUAAAUAUUCAUAUCUAAAAUCCUUAACAUUCAAAAUCGGUUUACAAAAUUUGUUUCUUUUCCUGUUACCUUUAACACUACUUGUAUUAUUGUAUAAUUAAAAUCUUUCAUAACUGCGAUUGUUGAAUGAUGGAAAAUAUUAUUUACUAGAAAAACUUUUUGCCUAUCAAAAUUAUUAAGAAACAAUGACUUAUAAUUUAAUUUAUAAGCUUUCUUAAUAAUUAAAUAUUUUUCAAAAUCGUAAACUGUACGUAAAUGGUUAAAUUUAGCUAAUCUUUGUUCAUUUGUAUAAAAGUCGGGGAAAAUAAAAGUUUUAUUUAAAUUUGUUAAAUUUAACCAGUUAUUUCUUAUAUUUUUCAUUAUAUGAACAAAGUCAAAAGAAAGAAAAAUAGUUUUAUGAAAAGGCCGGUAAAGGGAGACAGUAGUUGGGAGGCCGGGAGACUGAUAGGGUAGGUUGGGUUAGGUAUAUCGAAGUUUCUUCCCUGUGGGGCGGGGAAUAGAAUACGCCCACAGUAAUCCCUGCUUUUUUUUUUUUUUUAUAACGAGGGGGAAAUGCAUUACGCACACCCGGCGGAUGUAGGGACUUCCGCCGGGUAGUGUGGGACUCGCCGCAGGCGAAAAACAUCACCCGUGGGUAUACCCACUAAAACCCCCCCGAUGGCCAACAUCGGGCAACACAGCGACCAUGGGCUCUCUCCAGGACGGGAAAGCGAACCUCCCCGCCCCUACGAACUCCACCACGGCCGCCGCCCCCAGGCUCCCCUUGAUCUUUGGGGAGCCCUACUCAGUGUGGGGGAGCCAAACAUCGCCCCCUACACCGUUCUGUCGGCGCCAGGGGGCCAUACCCCGGCGCCGACCGCUUUGGGACCGGUCACGAAGACGGCGGCGAAUCCCUACCGCCAACCGUCUCGGCCCCCGCGGCCCCGCACGCAACACGUCGAGGUCAUCGUGACUGUGACCCCAUGACAGGCGUGCGCGCGCGGGGCCGACAGUAAUCCCUGCUUGUCAUAACCCCGGGUCCACACUGCGCGAACACUGGUUCGCGUACAUCGUUCGUGAACAUGGUAGCUAACCCUGUUAUUCACCGGUUUUCGCCGUAGUAUGGACGGGAAAUAGCAGAGUUCGCUAACAAGUGACCCUCGUAAUAGGCGUAAAGUCGUAAAAGUAGCCCCGCUGAGUUAGGCGAAAACUGUGUUCGCGAACCAAAUUCAGCGAUCCACGAGGUGGUGGAUCCGGCGAACACGUUCGGGGAAAACAUCGCCUUUUUCUUCGUUCUUGUCCCUUUUCAAACCCUCGGAGCUUGGGCAUUGCUAUUCUUUCUAACUGGGGGGGUGGUCUUUAUGACCACCCGCAGGUAGGUACAUACUCCAAAAGGAUAAUAUGCGUGACCGAAGUUAACAUUAUUUUCUUAUUACUCAUCCAAGUUUGUAUAUUUUUUGUUGUAUCUUGAUGAAAGUAUAUGCAAUAUAUUGGCGAGAUUUUCCUGAUAAAAAUGGCACCAAACACAAUGCAAUUCAGACAACUUUAAGUUUCGUUUACAAUAUGCAAUAUUUUUAUAAUAUUAAUACUUGAUUUUGUGAGCCAGUAACCGAUUAGAAAGUCUCUUCGAAAAUAGAAAACAGAUUGUAAAACUCUUGCCAGGAGAUAAUUAGGGCCUAUGAAAAAACUUGGUACCUUUUGUAGCUAUGUGAUCCUGAUACCCGACUUUUCAAAAAUUCAUUUUUUUUAUGGAAAAUAAUAGUAUUUCGUUUGUACUUGAUUGUACCAUCAAUAGUUUCGUUUAUACGUUCAUCAAUUAAUAAAUAAAAAAAUAAAAAAAAUGACAAGCACCCGACAUUGAGAUUUUUGAAAUCUGUUUUUCCCUAUUCUUUAGAAUCGUUUGUACCCGUUUGUAUCGCUUUUCGUUUCGUUUGUACC